GGGGGAAUAUUGCACAAUGGGCGAAAGCCUGAUGCAGCCAUGCCGCGUGUGUGAAGAAGGCCUUCGGGUUGUAAAGCACUUUCAGUCAGGAGGAAAGGGUGUGAGUUAAUACCUCAUAUCUGUGACGUUACUGACAGAAGAAGCACCGGCUAACUCCGUGCCAGCAGCCGCGGUAAUACGGAGGGUGCGAGCGUUAAUCGGAAUUACUGGGCGUAAAGCGUACGCAGGCGGUUUGUUAAGCGAGAUGUGAAAGCCCCGGGCUCAACCUGGGAACUGCAUUUCGAACUGGCAAACUAGAGUGUGAUAGAGGGUGGUAGAAUUUCAGGUGUAGCGGUGAAAUGUGUAGAGAUCUGAAGGAAUACCGAUGGCGAAGGCAGCCGCCUGGGUCAACACUGACGCUCAUGUACGAAAGCGUGGGGAGCAAACGGGAUUAGAUACCCCGGUAGUCCACGCCGUAAACGAUGUCUACUAGAAGCUCGGAACCUCGGUUCUGUUUUUCAAAGCUAACGCAUUAAGUAGACCGCCUGGGGAGUACGGCCGCAAGGUUA
rnacentral:rRNA from 1 species